rnacentral:rRNA from 1 species
UGGGUCCGAGUNGUAAUUUGUAGAGGAUGNUUCGGGCAAGGCUGUGAUCUAAUUUGCUUGGAACAGCAAGUCACAGAGGGUGAGAAUCCCGUCUAGGAUCGUGUGUCAUGCCCAGGUGAAGCUCCUUCGACGAGUCGAGUUGUUUGGGAAUGCAGCUCUAAAUGGGUGGUAAAUUUCAUCUAAAGCUAAAUAUUGGCCAGAGACCGAUAGCGCACAAGUAGAGUGAUCGAAAGAUGAAAAGCACUUUGAAAAGAGAGUUAAACAGUAUGUGAAAUUGUUGAAAGGGAAGCGCUUGCAACCAGACUUGGGGAUAACGGUUCCCUCGGCCUUUUGGCCGGGCUAUUCUGUUACGUCCAGGUCAGCAUCGGUUCAGGUGGUCGGUGAAAGAUCUCGGGAAUGUAUCUCCCUUCGGGUCGACUUAUAGCCCGGGGUGCAAUGCGGCCCACCUGGACCGAGGAACGUGCUUCGGCUCGGAUGCUGGCGUAAUGGUUGUAAGCGGCCCGUCUUGAAACACGGACCAAGGAGUCUAACAUCUAUGCGAGUGUUUGGGUGCCAAACCCCUAUGCGUAAUGAAAGUGAACGGAGGUAAGANNNCCGUCCAGGGGCGCAUUAUCGACCGAUCCUGAUGUCU